rnacentral:rRNA from 1 species
AACGGAUAUCUCGGCUCUUGCAUCGAUGAAGAACGUAGCAAAAUGCGAUACUUGGUGUGAAUUGCAGAAUCCCGUGAACCAUCGAGUCUUUGAACGCAAGUUGCGCCUGAAACCAUUAGGUUGAGGGCACGUCUGCCUGGGUGUCACACAAUGUUGUCCU